CUGAGGAGUCCCAUAAUAGGACGAAACGGACGUC
rnacentral:hammerhead_ribozyme from 1 species